GUGAGGAAUAUUGGACAAUGGGCGCAAGCCUGAUCCAGCCAUGCCGCGUGCAGGAAGACGCAUCUAUGGUGUGUAAACUGCUUUUGUACGGGACGAAGGAAGUGACGGUACCGUACGAGGAAGCCCCGGCAAACUACGUGCCAGCAGCCGCGGUAAUACGGAGGGGGCUAGCGUUGUUCGGAAUUACUGGGCGUAAAGCGCACGUAGGCGGACUGGAAAGUCAGGGGUGAAAUCCCGGGGCUCAACCCCGGAACUGCCUUUGAAACUCCCAGUCUUGAGUUCGAGAGAGGUGAGUGGAAUUCCGAGUGUAGAGGUGAAAUUCGUAGAUAUUCGGAGGAACACCAGUGGCGAAGGCGGCUCACUGGCUCGAUACUGACGCUGAGGUGCGAAAGCGUGGGGAGCAAACAGGAUUAGAAACCCCUGUAGUCC
rnacentral:rRNA from 1 species